AAACAAGCUCUUUAUCAAUGGAGAUUUGGCGUUUGGCGACUUGAGUUCUUCUGCUAUUUUUUAUCUUCUAUACGUAUCCUCUUCCUCUUUUUUCUCUCUAGUUUUCCUGUUUUGAUUUCUCAAUGUAUUAGUUUUGUUUCCUUAUAAUGAAUAAAAGUUUAAUAAGAAAUUAUAAAUUUGUUAUUCCAUGUAAUAUCCACGUUACCUGAUUUAAUAUAUACAUCAUUAAAUUCGAAUGAC
rnacentral:lncRNA from 1 species